rnacentral:rRNA from 1 species
UGGGCGCAGCCUGAUCCAGCCAUGCCGCGUGGAGGAUGACAGCCUUCUGGGUUGUAAACUUCUUUUAUAUGGGAAAAAAAGUACGGUAUCUACUGUAUCCGAC